CGAUGAAGACAACAUAUUCCUCCCACAUACCUUGUGAACAAAGUUCUCAUAUGUGAUAUUAUGGUUUUCUAAUUGUUUCUUUAUGAAGGCAACAUAUUCCUCACACAUACCUUGUGAACAAAGUUCUCAGAUGUAAUUUGCAUACUAAGUGUUUGAUACAAAGACCCAAUGAUUACUCAAUUUCAUCAUCACUUUAUUUUUGCGUUUGCUGACAGUUACCUAAUGAGGAUACAUAUCCCUCAUGCAAACAUAAGGAAUCCCAUAAAUUCCCUUCUUGGAUGACAUGUUGGUUGGUGUAGGAUGGACUGUGCAGGAUUAGUUGAAAUAAGGGAGAAUGAUUGCUAUCACCGCUUUAAAAUGGGCAUAGGCUUUUUCUGCAUGACAUAAGAGAAGUAGUUGUUUGCGUUGAUGUCCAAUGGAUGAAGGCGGCAAUACUAUUGGUUAAUUGGGCCGCCUCAGUCCUAUGGAGCUCAUAGACUAUCAUAGUAAUGGUUUCAGAAAGAGGGCAAUGCUUGAAAGGCUUGGUAAAGACAUACAAAAGGAGCAGCUCAAAAUCACCCUAUGGAAUGGUAGAUAUCAAAAUUGGCAUGGGAGUAAGAGAUGUCAAAGCUACGUCAGCUUUGGCAUGAGUGAAGGCAGAUGGGUUGGAUUGAAAGUUGAUGCCCAAAAUGAUCGUUAACUUGUCCAUCUCAGCUUUGACAUCUCCCAUUGGAGAUGCUCUAAGGUAUCUUUAAUACUUUGAUUGUUAAUUUUAUAUUGCCCACAUUCAUAAGUGAUAAGAGUGUUUCCCUGUGCUGCCAUAAUCCCACAAUUUAGAGUGACUUUCUUUAGAAAGAAUUGCUUAUCAUUUAAAAUGAUAUGAGCUCGAAUAUGGUUAUUGAAAAUGAAUACAUUAUAUGUGACAUUUGAGUCUGUUGUAAAUACAUUUGGUUGGAGAUUGAUAAUCCCACCAUCUAGAGAUUGAUACGCUUCUCAAAGUCAAGAGGGGAGACAGAGGAAAAGUUCAAAGUUCAG